CAGACUAGAUCUUCUGUUGUUUAUGUUCACAUUAAUGAACUCCUUGCCCAUGUUCUAUGUAUGGCGGGUCCCCUGGAGGAGGGUUAAAUUGUUUCCUCUGUUAGGCUCUAUGGAAUGGAGCUCGCUAAAAAAUUUAUACAUCUCUACUUAAAUUGUAGCGGUAGGACUUAUGGAGGAGCUUAAAAGAAAAAAUUAUAUUUCUUUCUUCUUGGACAAUGCUAGGGGCUUGCUAAUUUUUUUUACUUUUAUCUUUCUCUGCUUUUAGCUAUUUAUCUCUCCUUCCUCUGGUCUCGUUAGAGCAACAAUUGGGUUUGCAUUAUUUGUUCUAGUAAACAGGGGCUUGCUAAAUUUUCUCUAUUUAUCUCUCCUCAUUCCUCUGGUUUCUUAAGAUCAAAAAUUGGGUUUGCAUUAAUUGUACUAGAAUUGUCUAGGGUAAAUUUUCUCUAUAUCUUUCUCCUUAUUCCUCUGGUUUCCAAAAGCUUUCUCUGUGAAAAAUCUCUGGUUUCUAGAAGGUUUCUCUGUAAAAAAAUCUGUUUCCAGAAGCUCUGUGUGGAAAAUCUAUAGCAAUCUCUGGUUUCCUAAAGCUUUCUCUGAGAAAUCUUUGAUUCUCAAGAGAUCUUCUGUGUGAGAAAUCUUUUGUGUGAGAAAUCUGUGAGAAAUCUUUGGUUCCCAAAAGCCUUCCUUGUGAGAAUCUGUGGUUCCCAAUAGAUCUUCUGUGUGAGAAAUCUUUGGUUCCCAAAAUCCUUCCAUAUGAGAAUCUGUGGUUUCUAAAAGGGCUUCUGGGUGUGAAGUCUUUGGUUCCCAAAAAAACCUUCUGUGAGAGAAAUCUGUGUGAGAAAUCUCUGAUUUCCAAAAGCCUUUUGUGUGAAAGUCUGUGGUUUCCAAAAGGCCAUCUGUGUGAGAAAUCUCUGGUUUUCAAAAGAUUUCCAAAAGACCCUCUGUGUGAGAAAUCUCUGGUUUUCAAAAGUUCUGUGAGAAAUCUCUGGUUCCCAAAAAUCUGUUUGAGAAAUCUCUGGUUCCAAAAGCCUUCCGUGUGAAAAUCUUUUGUGAGAAAUCUCUGGUUCCAAAAGCCUUUCGUGUGAAAAUCUAUUGUGAAAAAUUUCUGGUUCUCAAAAGGCCUUUUAUGUGAGAAAUCUCUGGUUCCCAAAAACCUUCUGUGUGAGAAACCUCUUAUUCUCAAAAGCCUUCUGUGUAAAAAUCUGUGGUUUCCAAAAAACAUCUGUGAGAAAUCUCUGGUUCCCAAAAACUUGUGAGAAAUCUGUGAGAAAUCUCUGAUUCCUAAAAGCCUUCGUGUAAGAAUCUGUGGUUCUCAAAUAGCCUUCUGUGUGAAAAAUCUCUGAUAAAAAAUGUGUGUGAGAAAUCUCUGGUUCCCAAAAGCCUUCCGUCUGAAAGUUCCAAAAGACUUUCUGUGUGAGAAAUAUGUGGUUCUCAAAAGAUCUUCUGUGAGAAAUCUCUGAUUUCCAAAAACCCAUGUGAAAAAUCUGUGAGAAAUCUUUGAGCUUUCCGUGUCAGAAUCUGUGGUUUCAUUCCAAAAAGCCUUCUGUGAGAGAAAUAUCUGUUACCAAAAACCUUCCCUAUGAAAAAUCUUUGGUUUCCAAAAGCCUUCUGUGUAAGAAUCUGUGAUUCCCUAAAGAAACCUUCUGCGUGAGAAAUCUCUGGUUUCUCUGUGAAAAAUUGUCUGCGGAUAGAGGCUUGCUGAAUUUUCUCUAUUAAAGCAAUGUCAGAGACAACUCGUUUCCGACUUGCUCGCAUUGACAACUUCUCAAAGGCGAAAGAAAAGGCCGAGUCACUGAAGGAAAUGCCAGGGGUUUCUGAUGUUAAUUUGGGCGAAGAUAGAUGGGUUACAUUCGUGCAUGAUCCCAGUACGAGUGAUACACAAAAAAUAAGAAAUCGGCUGGAAGCUAUGAAUUUGCGUAUCAUUGAGACUGUAAAUAUAAAGAAAAGGAACUGAGGAUGAAUGGAUCAAUCACUGAUGGAUAUGGAUACAAAAGAUAUAGUAGUUGAAUUUGUUUCAAUAAUUAUUAUAUUAUUUGUAGAUUUAAUCAUCAAUAUUGUACCAAUUCUUAUGAUUUGUGCUAGUGUUGAUGAGGAAUGCUUAUACUUGAAUGAAAUGUAUUUUUAUAUC